ensembl:lncRNA
GGUGGUAGCGCCGCAGCUAGAGGAAGGGUCAACGACAGCUGUAGGAGAAGCAGAGGAAAAACGGAACAAAACUGGCCACGCGAAGUUUAUUAGCAAGAGAAACGAGUGAACUUACGGGCUCUUCUGAACGAACUGUGUUUUAGAAAGAGUUACAAGGAGUAACUGGUCGAAGUUUUGUCAAGGACUGUCAAGGAUUUAAAGGUUUUGUUUUUCCUGUUCUCCGGUUGGUUUGUUAUUUACCCUGACAAACUGAGAGGGAGAAAGAAGCAGAGUUUAUUGUGCAAACCGCCGAUGGACAUACAGACGGACAGAGGACGUGCCACAGACGAACAAAGAAUACAUCGCAGGUGUGCAGAGGAUCGUGUUGCCGAUUAGGAAGACGACUUCACUCCAUGUUCUUCAAUUCAUCGUACAGAUAAGCACUGAACAAUCAUCACACCACAGCCAAAGGAAGUGCUACAUGCAACUUAUGGUGAGCCAGCCAGGAGGUGUAGGUGGAACAAAAUAAACAGUAAGAAAACAGAGCUAAAUUUUUAAUAUAGCCAAUUAGGCCUGUUAAACCAUAUAGUAUUAAUUUUUUGUGGUGAUACCUACCUUUUCUGAUACUUUGUUUUGCGAAUUAUUCCUAAUUCUAAGUAGCUAUGGAAACUGGACCAGAGUAUGGUACGGAUAUGACAAGGUCUGUUUACAUUGAGGGUAUUACAACAACUGACACUGAUGAGCCAAUAGCUGAAUUUUGCGUACCUUUUGGGUCUGUGAACAGAGUCCUCGGGUAAGGCAGACAGGCCAAAGCAGUGGGGUUAAAGCUCUAGUUGAGUUUGAAUCUGAAGACUCUAUCACAAAGCUAGCUCCUAGUCUUCCUCAGUACUUCUCAAGUAUUGGUAACCCCAGCAUUUUGUGGCGUGUGGAUAGAGCUUACAAAGUAUCUCAAACCGCUAAGAAAAUGUCCCCCACAGUGCUAGCAGACCCCCUAGACCCAAGUGACAACUCAAGCUCUGAGGACGAACCAGAUUCAGAUGAUAGUAGGACACCUUUAAUACCCGAGCUAAACAUGAUCAUGCUCAACCUGCCUCUCCUGGGUUUUCCUCCAAAUCUUUAUACAAUUUUCAACAAAUCACCAAGCAGUGCUGAUAAGGAAAAUACACAUACCCGGAAUGUUUAAUAAAGUGACAACCCAGACGUUGCUCUUAAGCCUUCUGUGUACAACAUUCACAGCCACUGGAUGUGGCUACAGCAUCAUACCUUCACUUCUACCAACCUUCAUUUAAAGCCAGAAAGACUGUGUAUACACGAAGCACCCAUAAAUAAUCCAGUAACAACUAUGAGCCUGCAUUAGCAAUGUAAAAUACACUCAAUAGCCAUAUCCAGUUGUUGUCAACUCAUUUCUGUUCCGCUCCAUGCAUGACUGUUUGCAGGGUCCAUUGGACUGGAGUUAAACAGGAGUAAUAAGGAGUAGGAAAGGGAACCUCAAAAUAGUAGUAGAGACUGUCACGCUAAGCUGAAGUGAAAUUAGCUCAAAUAAAUUUAAAUAAAGCUAAAUGUAUGCUGUUUGGAAAAAACAACAUCAAUACACAGGCAAAUGUAAUGAUAAACAAUGUUCACAUAGAAAGCGUGUAUGAGUAUAAAUUUUUGGGUGUUGUUCUAGAUCACAAAAUCUGCUGGAAACCCCAUAUUGAAUAUGUUAGAACAAAGGUAGCACGGAGUAAAAUUAAACACACUAAAAUUAAAAGACCUGGUUGACUUUAGAACUGCGAUGAUGAUGUAUAGAGCAAGAAACAAACUACUAUCUGUAAACCUACAGAGGUUGUUUCAGGACAGAGUAGAGGAAUAUCACUUCAAAGGGAUAUUGAAGUUUAAGCAGUGUUAUACCAGGACCACUUUGAAAAGUAUGUGCAUUUCGAUAUGUGGGGUUGUUUUGUGGAACAGUCUGGAUGAGGGAAUCAAACAAUGUAGGAACCUAUACCAAUUUAAAAAAAUGUACAAAAAAUAUAUCAUUGAAAAGUACAUAAAUGAGGAAAUAUGAUUUUUUUUUUCUUUUUUCUCCC